GUCGAGUGACACUGCGCCGAAAAUGUACCGGGGCUAAACAUAUUACCGAAGCUGUGGAUUGUCCUUUGGACAAUGGUAGGAGAGCGUUCUAAGGGCGUUGAAGCAUGAUCGUAAGGACAUGUGGAGCGCUUAGAAGUGAGAAUGCCGGUGUGAGUAGCGAAAGACGGGUGAGAAUCCCGUCCACCGAUUGACUAAGGUUUCCAGAGGAAGGCUCGUCCGCUCUGGGUUAGUCGGGUCCUAAGCUGAGGCCGACAGGCGUAGGCGAUGGAUAACAGGUUGAUAUUCCUGUACCACCUAUAAUCGUUUUAAUCGAUGGGGGGACGCAGUAGGAUAGGCGAAGCGUGCGAUUGGAUUGCACGUCUAAGCAGUAAGGCUGAGUAUUAGGCAAAUCCGGUACUCAUUAAGGCUGAGCUGUGAUGGGGAGAAGACAUUGUGUCUUCGAGUCGUUGAUUUCACACUGCCGAGAAAAGCCUCUAGAUAGAAAAUAGGUGCCCGUACCGCAAACCGACACAGGUAGUCAAGAUGAGAAUUCUAAGGUGAGCGAGCGAACUCUCGUUAAGGAACUCGGCAAAAUGACCCCGUAACUUCGGGAGAAGGGGUGCUCUUUAGGGUUAACGCCCAGAAGAGCCGCAGUGAAUAGGCCCAAGCGACUGUUUAUCAAAAACACAGGUCUCUGCUAAACCGUAAGGUGAUGUAUAGGGGCUGACGCCUGCCCGGUGCUGGAAGGUUAAGAGGAGUGGUUAGCUUCUGCGAAGCUACGAAUCGAAGCCCCAGUAAACGGCGGCCGUAACUAUAACGGUCCUAAGGUAGCGAAAUUCCUUGUCGGGUAAGUUCCGACCCGCACGAAAGGCGUAACGAUUUGGGCACUGUCUCAACGAGAGACUCGGUGAAAUCAUAGUACCUGUGAAGAUGCAGGUUACCCGCGACAGGACGGAAAGACCCCGUGGAGCUUUACUGUAGCCUGAUAUUGAAAUUCGGCACAGCUUGUACAGGAUAGGUAGGAGCCUUUGAAACGUGAGCGCUAGCUUACGUGGAGGCGCUGGUGGGAUACUACCCUAGCUGUGUUGGCUUUCUAACCCGCACCACUUAUCGUGGUGGGAGACAGUGUCAGGCGGGCAGUUUGACUGGGGCGGUCGCCUCCUAAAAGGUAACGGAGGCGCUCAAAGGUUCCCUCAGAAUGGUUGGAAAUCAUUCAUAGAGUGUAAAGGCAUAAGGGAGCUUGACUGCGAGACCUACAAGUCGAGCAGGGUCGAAAGACGGACUUAGUGAUCCGGUGGUUCCGCAUGGAAGGGCCAUCGCUCAACGGAUAAAAGCUACCCCGGGGAUAACAGGCUUAUCUCCCCCAAGAGUUCACAUCGACGGGGAGGUUUGGCACCUCGAUGUCGGCUCAUCGCAUCCUGGGGCUGUAGUCGGUCCCAAGGGUUGGGCUGUUCGCCCAUUAAAGCGGUACGCGAGCUGGGUUCAGAACGUCGUGAGACAGUUCGGUCCCUAUCCGUCGUGGGCGUAGGAAAUUUGAGAGGAGCUGUCCUUAGUACGAGAGGACCGGGAUGGACAUACCUCUGGUGUACCAGUUGUCGUGCCAACGGCAUAGCUGGGUAGCUAUGUGUGGACGGGAUAAGUGCUGAAAGCAUCUAAGCAUGAAGCCCCCCUCAAGAUGAGAUUUCCCAACUUCGGUUAUAAGAUCCCUCAAAGAUGAUGAGGUUAAUAGGUUCGAGGUGGAAGCAUGGUGACAUGUGGAGCUGACGAAUACUAAUCGAUCGAAGACUUAAUCAA
rnacentral:rRNA from 1 species